rnacentral:rRNA from 1 species
UCCGUAGGUGGCAAGCGUUGUCCGGAAUUAUUUGGCGUAAAGCGCGCGCAGGUGGUUUCUUAAGUCUGAUGUGAAAGCCCACGGCUCAACCGUGGAGGGUCAUUGGAAACUGGGGAACUUGAGUGCAGGAGAGAAGAGUGGAAUUCCACGUGUAGCGGUGAAAUGCGUAGAGAUGUGGAGGAACACCAGUGGCGAAGGCGACUCUUUGGCCUGUAACUGACACUGAGGCGCGAAAGCGUGGGGAGCAAACAGG